UUUCUUUCCCCUUCCCUCUGUUUCCUUUCUUUCUCCUUCUCUCUCUAUUUCUCUUCCACUUUCAUUCUUUCUUUCUUUCUCCUUCUACUGUCUCCUCCUUUCUCUCCCACUUUCACCUUUUCCCUCUUUUUCUCUCCCUCCCUCUGUUCCCUCUUUCCGUCCUCCUUUUUCUCUCUUCCCAUCUCAAUCUUUCUUUCUCCCUCUUUUCAUCUCCCUUUUUCUUUUUCCUUCUUUUUUCUUUGUCCCUCCUUCCAUUCCCUAUUUCCAUCUCCCUUUUUUCUUUCUUUUCUUGCUUUCUUUCUCCUUCCCUCUGUCCCCUCUUUCAGUCUCCCUUUCUUUCUUUCUUUCUCCUUCUUUCUCUCCUACUUUCUCUCCUACUUUCAUCCUUUCCCUCUUUUUCUCUCCCUUUGUCUGUUUCCUUUUUCCAUCCUCCUUUUUCUCUCUUCCCAUCUCAAUAUUUCUUUCUCCCUCUUCAUCUCCCUUUUUUCUUUUUUUCUUCUCCCUCUCUUUCUCCAUCUCCUUUUUUCUUUUUCCUUUUUUCUUUCUCCCUCCUUCCAUUCCCUAUUUCCAUCUCCCUUUUUUCUUUCUUUUCUUGCUUUCUUUCCUUCCCUCUGUUCCCUCUUUCAAUCUUUCUUUCUUUCUCCCACUACCUUCCCCUUAUUCUUUUCUUUCUCCUUCUCUCCCUCCAUCUGUUCCCUCUUUCCAUCCUCCUUUCUUUUCCCAUCUCCCUCUUUCUUUGUAUGUUUCUUUCUCCUUCCCAUUCCCUCUUUCCAUCUCCCUCCUUCUUUUUUGUUCCAUCUCCCUUUCUCUUUCUUUUUCUUUUCUUCUUUUAUUUAUUUAUUUUCUUGCUUUUUUCUACCUCUUUCUCUCGCACUGCCUCCCCCUUUUUCUUUCCCUCCUCUUGCGCUCUCCCCCUUUCUUUUUCUAUUUUUCUCUCUCUUUCUCCCCGUUUAUUCUGUUCUGUUGUCCUUUAUCUCUCCUUUCUUCCUUUUCCUCGCUCUUUCUUUUUCUCUUUCUUCCUCCUUUUUUCUCUCUGUCCCCAAAAAUGUCAUCUGCUCCCUCUUUUUCUGUCUCCCUCUUUGUCCCUCUCUCUUUUUAAUAACUCUGCCAGUCUAACAGAUUAUUUUAUGAACAUUUAAUUCCACGUUAAGGGACAAUAAACGACUGGAUUUAAGGAGGAGAAAGUGUGAAUUUAAUUGUGGUUCUUUAUUUAUAAUGAAAUGUAGGGUCGCCCUCUUUCC
rnacentral:lncRNA from 1 species